GAUUUCUGGCACGAUGCGCCUGGCCCGCCACGGUUACGUGUGUGAGUGCCGGGUCGGAUCUGCCAUCCUUCCAGAGUGCGGCCCUACCCUUCACUGGGCCGGGGCCGUUUCUCUCUGGAUCGUUUACUUUGAACAAAUUAGAGUGUUUCAAGCAGGCGUCGCCGCUGUGAAUACAUUAGCAUGGAAUAAUAACUUAGGGCUUCGGUUCUAUUUUGUUGGUGUUCUAGGGCUGAAGUAAUGAUUGAUAGGGAUAGUUGGGGGUGCUAGUAUUCAGUGGCCAGAGGUGAAAUUCUCGGAUUCACUGAAGACUAACUUAUGCGAAAGCAUU
rnacentral:rRNA from 1 species